CGUAGGGGGCUAGCGUUGUCCGGAUUUAUUGGGCGUAAAGAGCGUGUAGGCGGCCAAGUAAGUCCGGUGUGAAAACUCGAGGCUUAACCUCGAGAUGUCAUCGGAAACUAUUUGGCUAGAGUCCGGAAGAGGAGAGUGGAAUUCCUGGUGUAGCGGUGAAAUGCGCAGAUAUCAGGAAGAACACCUAUGGCGAAAGCAGCUCUCUGGGACGGUACUGACGCUGAGACGCGAAAGCGUGGGGAGCGAACAGGAUUAGAUACCCUGGUAGACCACGCCGUAAACGAUGGGUGCUAGGUGUGGGCGGUGUCGACUCCGUCCGUGCCGAAGCUAACGCAUUAAGCACCCCGCCUGGGGAGUACGGCCGCAAGGCUA
rnacentral:rRNA from 1 species